AUACGUAGGUGACAAGCGUUAUCCGGAUUUACUGGGCGUAAAGGGCGUGUAGGCGGUCUUGCAAGUCCGAAGUGAAAUUCCUGCGCUCAACUAGGGCGCUGCUUCUGAAACUGCAGGACUUGAGUGCUGGAGGGGAUAGCGGAAUUCCUAGUGGAGCGGUAAAAUGCGCAGAUAUUAGGAAGAACACCGGUGGCGAAGGCGGCUAUCUGGACAGUAACUGACGAUGAGGCGCAAAAGCGUGGGGAGCAAACAGGAUUAGAUCCCCUGGUAGUCCACGCCGUAAACGAUGAAUACUAGGUGUAGGGGGUAUCGACUCCCUCUGUGCCGCAGUUAACACAAUAAGUAUUCCGCCUGGGGAGUACGGCCGCAAG
rnacentral:rRNA from 1 species